AACUGCUAACAUGUAUUGAGCCCCACUGUGUGCUUGGCAACCCUGGGAGGGUACCAUCCUCAUCUCCCUUUAUGCCGCGGAUGCAGAGCUCAGAGGGAGCAAGGAGCUAACCCGAAGCCACACAGCUGGUUAGGGGCAAUGCGGCAUUCCAGCCAAGACCCUAGUGCCCUGUCUGCCUGGGGACCCACCAGCUGCCCUGGGCACCCGUCUCGGGCAGCGGGCGGGGGGUUGGAUGCAGAGGCAGCACCCAGGGACCAGCUGCGGCUCUCACCCCCACACCCAUCCAGCUCCUCUGCCUGCUAAUUGUGGGGUUGCAGGACGUCAGCUGCCUCCCAGGCCCCGGGCGGGCUCCUACCAAUGGAGCAGGAGCUCCCUCCACAGCAUCCCACUCCUCCUCCAGCCCCACAGACACAGCUGCGCUGGGGGUGGUCCCCACGGUGCUGGGACCCCCACCCCUCCGGGAGGCAGCCUGAAAAGGUGUCAGUAUGAAGACUUCCUCCAUAGCUUUCCAAUCUCCCAGGCUUCCCCCCGUCAGAGAGGAGCAUGGGCUCUCCACCACUCAGGAACAGCCAUGGCUCCCCAUUGCUGGACAAGUCAAGUUUCACCCCACAUCGUGGCCCGUGGGUGCUCCAGACUCACCCUUAAGCACGUUCCUCAAGUGGCCUUGGUCUCAGGUCCCUGUUGCUCCAGGAUAAAGUCCAGACGGGCCCCUUGCUACGGCCUCUGCCUCCCCCACGGGCUUCCCCAGCAUCCUCUCUCUACUUGCCCUCGGCCAGAGCACCAGUGGCCUGGGCAACAGCUCCACAGUGACCGGGGCAUGCCUCAUCUCUCACAUCUGGACUUGAGCUCCGAGGGCAGGGGUCCUGCCUGUGGGAAUCUGGAUCUCCCGGGAAAGGACAGAGAGCAUCAUUGAG
rnacentral:lncRNA from 1 species